rnacentral:tRNA from 14 species
GGGUCGGUAGCUCAGGUGGUUAGAGCGCACGCCUGAUAAGCGUGAGGUCGGAGGUUCGAGUCCUCCUCGACCCACCA